UGGCGGGCGGCUUUGCUCUGAGCUGCAGGAGGACACAGACCCCGUAGCUGAGCGUCAGACCCCACGGAGGCUUUUAUCCGCUGCGGGCAGCUCCUCCCCGUCCUGCACUGCGGGGCCAUUGGCUGGGGCCGGCGCGGGGGUCCCCACCGGCAGGGGAGCAGGAGGGGAGGCCAG